rnacentral:rRNA from 1 species
AUGUGCUCGCUAUCAGGGCGGCUUGUUCACUUCUUGAGAUGCGGCGCAUUUAAUGGCGCAGCGAUAUACGAGAGACCAGAUAAUGAUGGGAAAGAGUACCCCGUCGGAGUUGAUCCGUGGCUCGGGACGCCCGCCGCCAUCCUGAUCCGUGGAACAGGAAAAACAGUUUCCGUCUGCCGUCGGAGCAGCGCGUGGAUUGGCUGCUAUUCGGCUGCAUUCGAUCCAUUCCCCGCCCCCGCCACAAGCGAGGUCGCCGUGCCAAGGAUCCCUGCCGGCGUGCGAAGGAGCAUCCCGAGAUCUAGCUCAUGGAGUUCCUGA